ensembl:misc_RNA Metazoa_SRP Metazoan signal recognition particle RNA
GCCGGGCUCGGUGGCAGGCGCCUGUAAUCCCAGCUACUCAGGAGGCUGAGGCAGGAGAAUUGCUUGAACCCAGGAGGUGGGGGUUACAGUGAGCCGAGAUCGUGCCACUGCACUCCAGCCUGGGUGACAGAGCAAGACUCUGUCUCAA